AUAUCAGUAAGCAGAGGAAAAGAAACUAACAAGGAUCCCCGUAGUAACGGCGAGUGAACUGGGAUCAGUCCAGCGCUAAAUCGUGCCGCCCCAGCGGCGGCAUGAAGUGUAGCGUAUAGAUGGUGUGCACCGCCUCGUCCAACAGUUUAAAUCUCCCUUGACUGGGGUUCCAGAGAAGGUGAAAGGCCUGUUCAACUGGAGGACUGGGCGGUUUGCGCCGUCUUGGAGUCGGGUUGUUUGGGAACGCAGCCCAAAGAAGGUGGUAAACUUCAUCUAAGACUAAAUAUGGCUACGAGACCGAUAGCGCACAAGUA
rnacentral:rRNA from 1 species